rnacentral:lncRNA from 1 species
AAUUUUUAGUGUAAUGAUGUAUUGCGAGCAAAAUACCUGAAUUUGACCUUAUUUUACACACAGCAGCUCCACCCAUUUUUCUUCUUUUUCUUUUCUUUUUGCAGUCCUUUUUCGGCUGAACCCUAAACUGAAAAACCCCAGCUGCCAUUUUCUCUCCCUUGCAAGAAACACCCAUAACCAUAUUCAAAGGUCAGCUCCCCCCAGCUCUAAAGAUUCAAUCUUUCUAACCCUAUACCCUUUUUAGUUUUAGUCUUUUUUUUUAUCGAUGGCGUGGUGAUUAAUAAUGAUUUGUACUGUGUAGAAAUAUUGAAAGAAUCCAUGGCAGAAGUGGGUGAAGCUACUUUAUGUUGUGCUCAAUGUGGCAAGCCUGCUCAUCUUCAGUAUGUUUCCACUAUUUUUAAUUUUUGUGUUCUUUUUUUGCUACUUUAUGUUGUGCUCAAUGUGGAAAGCCCGCUCAUCUUCAGUAUGUUUCGACUCUUUUUAAUUUUUUAUUCUUUUUUCAAUUGUAAAAAAGAUGUUUUUUGUAAUUUUCUUUGUUGAAUCUGAUUGCUUGGGUGGCUUUGAUACAAAUAUAUGCUUUAUGAUAUUCAACUGAGUUUGAGGUUAUGCACAUUGCUUACUUAUGUGUUCGGAUUUUAAGAAUUAAAAGAUUAAAUUUUAAGAGUUAAGUGGAUUUUAUAAAGGGGUCAAGAUGAAAGAGGAUAUUCUAAUUCCAGUAGGUGGAAAAUGGUAAUUUUAGUCUUAUGACUUGAAGAUGAAACUGGGGACUGCUGUUCAGAGAUUAGAUGAUGGAAAGGAUU